rnacentral:lncRNA from 1 species
CUUGAUGGAAUGUUACUUCCUAAAGUUACUAAAUCACCCUUAUGUUGUUUCCACCUCCAAGAGUUGAAAUUACAUCAUUGCCUCUUAUGGCCAUUUGUGUAUUUUGUAUGAUUUUUUUUUUCUUCUCUCCACUUUAACAAUUUAUAUUUGAAGUUUAUAAUUGUUUUUCUUAAUAAUAUUAUUUUCAAUAUUCGAAUCAAUGUCCUUUCUUGAUAGUAUAAUGUCACUUACCACUUUACCCAAUACUUAAAAGUUAUA